GAUUUGUUUCUUCUUCUUCUUUUCGUUCGAUAAGCCGUAAACUUUUACAAGCCACAAAACAAAAUGUCUAAGCGUCGUUCUCCUCCAAAUCAAUCACCAAGAAUAUAGCUUUUACUUCAUAUCCAACCCCACCUCUUCAUCGCAGCUAAGAAAUCCUUAGCCUUGGCAUCUCAAUCUUAUCACCAACUUCUCCACCGCUCUCGCACCUUCCGACAAUGCCGCUUUCAAUCGAUCUAGGCCGUAUCUUCUCCUUCAUGUUUAUUUUGAUUGACCAGUCUCUUCGUUUUUGUUGACUCUCUGAAUUUCAGGGCCACCAAGUUAACUCGGUUUAUCCGGUUGACUCUGUUUACCCAGUUCUGAGUUAUCCAAGUGAGUCGACUAGCGAUUUUUAUUUCUGGGCCAAUAAAGAGAUGGAUGGAGAAGAAGGUGGUGACAUGAGGAAAUUCUUGAGAACUCCAGUUUACAUAGAUACAUGCAAUGGUGGAUCUGAUCUUGUGUACGGUGUUGAAAAGAAUGGUGGGCUAGUGAACGCUAGGGGAAAUAAUUUCAAAGUACUUAGAUUCAUAGUUCACGAUUACAUGAGUUCUGGGUAAAGAUUAUUGCUAAACCCACGAGCUCUGUUAUUUUGUUUUUUUUUUCUUGUUUAAAAUAAUAAUUCUUAGUGUACAUGGAUGUUUAUGCACAUGUGUACAUGAAGAUUUUUCUAAUUCAUUGUACAUGUGGAUAUGUUUAUGUGUACCCAUAAGACUGUUUGCCUCUAAACAUGUUAAUUCUUGAUUCA